CCUGGACCCGAAGCGGGAUGAUCUAGCCCUGGGCAGGUUGAAGCGCGGGUAAGACCGCGUGGAGGACCGAACCCACUUAGGUUGAAAACUGAGGGGAUGACCUGGGGCUAGGGGUGAAAGGCCAAUCAAAUUCCGUGAUAGCUGGUUCUCUCCGAAAUGCAUUUAGGUGCAGCGUCGGUCGAUUGCGUCGCGGGGGUAGAGCUACCGGAUGCUUGCGGGCCCUUGUUGGGUACCAACAGCAGCCGAACUCCGAAUACCGUUGACGUGUAUUCCGGCAGUGAGUCGGCGGGGGAUAAGCUCCGUCGUCGAGAGGGAGACAGCCCAGACCGUCGUCUAAGGUCCCGAAGCGUGUGCUAAGUGGGAAAGGAUGUGGAGUCGCAUAGACAGCCAGGAGGUUGGCUCAGAAGCAGCCAUCCUUGAAAGAGUGCGUAACAGCUCACUGGUCUAGUGGUUCCGCGCCGACAAUGUAGCGGGGCUCAAGCACACCACCGAAGACGCGGCAGCAAUCUUCAUGGUUGCUGGGUAGGAGAGCGUCCUGCGAGGGGCGAAGCGGCCGGGUGACCGUGCCGUGGACUUCGUGGGAGUGAGAAUGCAGACAUGAGUAGCGAGAGACGGGUGAGGAUCCCGUCCGCUGGAUGACCAAGGGUUCCGGGGCCACGUUCGUCGUCCCCGGGUGAGUCGGGUCCUAAGGCGAGGCCGACAGGCGUAGUCGAAUGGAUGAACGGGUGGAUAUUCCCGUACCGACCAUGGACCGGCAAAACCGAGACGGUGAGUACUAACCUCCGCCUCGUGGUGGUUCCUUCCUUCGGGUUGGUUCCGCCGCGUGGUGUUGGGAGCGUAGCCGUAGUAGGUCAGCGCAGGGGUGACACGGAAUGGGAGCCGGCCGCGGAGGUGGUUUUCCGUGGUCAAGCACGCAGCCCGUCGCACAGGCAAAUCCGUGCGGCGUGUGGGCGAGGUGCGAUGAUGGGGCCCCUAUGGGCCGAUAUCCGGUGAUCCCUGCCGUCGAGAAAAGCUUCGGCGCGAGGGCCAAUGCCGCCCGUACCCCAAACCGACACUGGUGGUCAGGUAGAGAAUACCAAGGCGAUCGAGCGAAUCCUGGUCAAGGAACUCGGCAAAUCACUCCCGUGCCUUCGGUAUAAGGGAGACCCGCUGGGGUGAAGGACCUUGCGUCCGGAGCUUUGGUGGGUGGCACAGACCAGGGGGUAGCGACUGUUUACCAAAAACACAGGUGCAUGCGAAGGCGAAAGCCGCUGUAUAUGCACUGACGCCUGCCCGGUGCCGGAAGGUUAAGAGGAUCCGUCAACUCUUCGGAGCGAAGCGGUGAAUUCAAGCCCCGGUAAACGGCGGUGGUAACUAUAACCAUCCUAAGGUAGCGAAAUUCCUUGUCGGGUAAGUUCCGACCUGCACGAAUGGCGUAACGACUUCCCCACUGUCUCGACCAGGAGCUCGGCGAAAUUGCAGUACGAGUAAAGAUGCUCGUUAAGCGCAGAAGGACGAAAAGACCCCGGGACCUUUACUAUACCUUGGUAUUGGCGUUAGGCGCGGAUUGUGUAGCAUAGGCGGGAGGCUUCGAAGCGUGGGCGCCAGCUCAUGUGGAGCCGCAAGGUGAAAUACCGCUCUGUUCUCGUUUGACGUCUAACCUCGACAAGUCAUCCUUGUCAGGGACAGUGCCUGGCGGGUAGUUCAACUGGGGCGGUUGCCUCCCAAAGAGUAACGGAGGCGCUCAAAGGUCCGCUCAGCCCGGUUGGCAAUCGGGUGUCGAGUGUAAUCGCACAAGCGGGCUUGACUGCGAGGACGACGGUCCGAGCAGGGACGAAAGUCGGAGAUAGUGAUCCGGUGCCGGCGCACGGGCGCGGCAUCGCUCAACGGAUAAAAGGUACCCCGGGGAUAACAGGCUGAUCAUUCCCAAGAGUCCAUAUCGACGGGAUGGUUUGGCACCUCGAUGUCGGCUCGUCGCAUCCUGGGGCUGGAGCAGGUCCCAAGGGUUCGGCUGUUCGCCGAUUAAAGCGGCACGCGAGCUGGGUUCAGAACGUCGUGAGACAGUUUGGUCUCUAUCCUCUGCGCUCGUUGGAAUCCUGAGGAGGCCUGCCCAUAGUACGAGAGGACCUGGGUGGACGAACCUCUGGUAUGCCGGUUGUCGCGCCAGCGGCACGGCCGGUUGGCUACGUUCGG
rnacentral:rRNA from 1 species